CCCAAGACUGGCUUUCAACUCUCCUUUCUCUGCGCUACAAGUGUUUUGGACAAGGGAAAGCAAACGAAAACACAAAUUUCACAUUGUUUUUGAAUAUACUCAAUGGUUCACAAGUAUUACCUUACUAAAAGAAUAUCUUUAACAACUUGAGUCUAUGAUUGCUUUUGCAUAUAAACUGUGAUUUGGAAUCACUAGACCUAUCAAGCCAUGCUGACCACUAGUGAAGAUCGUAAGUUGUAUUAAAAUCCAUAAAUGCCUCACGUUAGUGCCCUUGAUGCAUCUCAUUAAGCGCCUUGUGCUUGCUGCGCCAUAGUUCAAUUCUUACAUGGGGCUUUCAUAUAUUAAAUGAAAUUACUUGUGCCUCAUUUCUCUCCAUUUGGAAAAUUAUUAGGUGAAGUAACCUGCCACAAAGUGGACAUGUUAGUGGACAAAAAGAGUUGAUGAUGAAAUGUACCACAAAUCCACCUUGCAUAUUCUUCACAACAGAGAAAGAGAAGUACAUGAUGCAGUUAUCUAGCCGUGCUUGUCACAAGAUAAUAAGCACCACCAAACACUCUUCUACACCAUCUACCACACAUUAGAGAACAUAGAGAACAAAGGAAUCAUCACUUUCUAAAACAUUCUUUAUCAACACUCUCAAUUUAACGUUUACAUGUUUGGAAUCCAACUUAAGCACGAGGAAACAAGAUGGCAAUUAUGGGGUCUUGGACAAACUAAAAAAGGUGCAAACAACAUUCCUUUUGAAAGCUGGAGAAAUUAUCAUGUUCGGAGACCAGAAGGCAAGAACCGUUCAGAUUUGUUGCGCUUUAACUACAUUUUUGCAAAAUACUCAGCAGAAGGAUAACAAAUAUGCAAUUAUAAAUGUAUAUUUGUCGUCCUUUUGCUGAGUAUUUGCAAAAGUGACAGUAAAUUUUCAAUUAGUAUGAUAUUUGAUGUGUUUUAGCUGCCCUUUUGAUGCGUUUUUGCAAAUACUCAGCAAAAGGUAGCAAAAGUGCAUUCAGCAUUGCAUAUUUGUUGCCCUUUGUUGAAUAUUUACAAAAGCGCAGCAAAUCCGAACGAUUCUCGCCAUUCGGUCUCUGCACAUAAUAAUUUCUCUAAAAGCUGGUGCUAUCUUACAAACUUCACAGGCAAGCGCAGCUGGGUAUUUUAAAAAAAAAAAAUCAUAUAAACUAAACCAUCAUAUCGUGCAAGCAUCCUCUCUGAAGGAAUCGUGUUUUAAGUCAGAAAAACACGAAGCACAUAAAAAAAUGAAUCAAUCUCAUAACCAGAACUCCACUUUCCAACUAAUACGUUAAAAAAAUCACGAAUUUCAAAUGGCGAUGUAAAAUACAAACAACCAAAUGAACCACAAAGUCAUCAUUUUACCUUAAAUGAACAAUAAAAGCAAAUAAAUCCGAUUAUAGAAGCAACUGAAGCAGCAACCAAAAGGAAACAUGACCGAACAUCAUCAUUAAUCAAGAAAAAAUUAAACUUUGAAAAACAAAGAACAACAAACAAAUAAACCGAUUCUUGUACCAAACAAGAACGAUCAUCUUC